rnacentral:rRNA from 1 species
GACGAACGCUGGCGGCGUGCUUAACACAUGCAAGUCGAACGGAAAGGCCCUGCUUUUGUGGGGUGCUCGAGUGGCGAACGGGUGAGUAACACGUGAGUAACCUGCCCUUGACUUUGGGAUAACUUCAGGAAACUGGGGCUCAUACCGGAUAGGAGCUCCUGCUGCAUGGUGGGGGUUGGAAAGUUUCGGCGGUUGGGGAUGGACUCGCGGCUUAUCAGCUUGUUGGUGGGGUAGUGGCUUACCAAGGCUUUGACGGGUAGCCGGCCUGAGAGGGUGACCGGCCACAUUGGGACUGCGAUACGGACCAGACUCCUACGGGAGGCAGCAGUGGGGAAUAUUGCGCAAUGGGCGGAAGCCUGAUGCAGCAGCGCCGCGUGCGGGAUGACGGCCUUCGGGUUGUAAACCGCUUUCGCCUGUGACGAAGCGUGAGUGACGGUAAUGGGUAAAGAAGCACCGGCCAACUACGUG